GUGCUCAGUUUGGCAGUACAUAUUCUAAAAUUGGAAUGAUACAGAGAUUACCCUGGCCCCUGCGCAAGGAUGACAUGCAAAUUUGUGAAGCAUUUAAUAUUUUU